AACGUUUAACAGGGUGAAAACAGCACGUGUUCCAGCCCUCUACAGACCCGCUGCUGUUCACACAUCAGAGCUCCUCUAACUGUGUGUGACAGGAUUUGUAUAGAGGAAGGGGCUUUGCAUAUCUGUCCUGCCUCACUGCUCCACACACUUUAAGACCCCCAGUACUGCUCAGUGACUGUCCAGUCUGUCCUUUCACAGAAACCGACACAGGCAGCAUUAUGACGAGAGCAAACAUUUUACUGCUCAUGAUGCUGGGACUCGUUGUACAGGAAUCAAUGGCAGAUAUAAUUCUGACUCAGUCUCCAUCAGCUCAGUCUGUUCAGCUGGGAGACACUGUUUCUAUCAGCUGUACAGCCAGUCAGAGUGUGGGCAGCUGGCUCAGCUGGUACCUGCAGAAACCUGGUCAGGCUCCUAAACUUCUGAUUUAUGCUGCCACAAGUCGCCAGUCUGGGAUUCCUGAUCGUUUCAGUGGGAGUGGAUCUGGGACUCAGUUUACACUGAAAAUCGCUGGAGUCCAGGCUGAAGAUGCAGGAGAUUAUUACUGUCAGCAGGGCAGCAGCUACCCGUUCACACAGUGAUACAGAGCCGUACAAAAACCUCCCUCAGUCAGACUGCACAGAGACUGCACUGCUGCAGCUGGGACCUACUGCAGGUGCUGAGGGGGGAGGCAC